AAAGGAGCAAGGGACAGCCUCAGAGAGGGUGCCGCGACUAAACCGGCGCUCAGGCUUACUCUCCUCCUUCCCCAGACUGUCGAAGAGGUCUGCCGAGUGGGGCUUCUGGGCUCCUGUUUACCAGAUCAAGGACACUGGCAGAAGAGACAAGAGGCAACCAUAUGGUUUUGGCCAUGUAAGUGCUGAAGCUUGCUUGCCACCCAGAAAGCCAUGUGCCCUGCCUGGUAUGGGUUAUAUCUGACCAGAGAGGAUCUGUUUUCACGGACACAAGACCCCUUACGAGCCAAUAGUGGAUGACGGCUUUCUCCCACCAUUGUUCACCUUUCCUACCCGAGCACCAGAGGACAUUGCCAGCUUACACUCCUUGUAGCAGCUGCUUCCUCUGUGGAGGAGUGGAGCCCACUUGCUUCUUCUGGGAGGGCUUAUAUUCCUGCCGGGGAGGUGCACGUUUCUCCCACCAUCUGGACAUCACCCAGCCCAGGAGCACAUCUGGGAACACCCCCCUUCACAGAGAACAAUAGGAUGUGCCGUGGGCAUGUAAUUGGUCCAACCACAGCAGGUGUCAAGGUGGCGAUGCUGCCCAGGUGCGCAGGCUCCAUGAUGUGUGAAGCACCCAGCUGCCAACCUGCUUCGAGGGGAGAAAUGUGAAAACCACUGGGCGUGUGUGGGUCCCACGUGUGGCGAAGAGGUCCACGCGAAAUCUACCCCAGCGAGCGGUUUAUGCGAAGAAUUCAAAACUAAGGUCCGAAACCGAGGGGCGCCUCUCCUUCACUAUAGCUUAACACCGGGCUACCUAGCCUCCUGUUAGGUUCCAAACACAAUUGCAUUUUGUUUGCAGUAAUUAAAAUGUU